rnacentral:rRNA from 1 species
GAUGAACGCUGGCGGCGUGCCUAAUACAUGCAAGUCGAGCGAACAGACGAGGAGCUUGCUCCUCUGACGUUAGCGGCGGACGGGUGAGUAACACGUGGAUAACCUACCUAUAAGACUGGGAUAACUUCGGGAAACCGGAGCUAAUACCGGAUAAUAUAUUGAACCGCAUGGUUCAAUAGUGAAAGACGGUUUUGCUGUCACUUAUAGAUGGAUCCGCGCCGCAUUAGCUAGUUGGUAAGGUAACGGCUUACCAAGGCAACGAUGCGUAGCCGACCUGAGAGGGGGGAUAGCCCACCUGGAAAUGAGGACAGGGCCAGAACCCUACGGGGGGGAACAGGGGGGAAAUUUUGCCAAUGGGGGGAAGCCUGAACGGGCCAACCCCGGGGGGGGAAGAAGGGCUUUGGGUUCUAAAACCCUUUUUUUGGGGAAGAAAAAAAGGGGGAAAAAACCACGCUGUUCUGACGGUACCCAAAGAAAAAGCCCCGGCUAAAUUCGUG